CCUCCAUGGAGAUGCCGAACUUCUCUGGCAGGUGCUCGACAUAAAUCUGGUGCCUAUCAAGGAAAUUUUGCUGUUUCUACGACUGAGAUCUGCACCCGAGUUUCCUUGAUGAGCACCGGAUUCAUGUCGAGAACGUGCAGAGCGCGAAGUUCGAUAAUAACGCAGGUCCCUGAUGUCACACUUGGAGCAGAAGCCAAGGGAGGUGGC